AGGUUAACUUACUGAAUUCUAUUCAUGACAACUUUCAUCAAGCAAUGGCAUCUUCUGGUUCUCGUGAGCAGUUUUUACGGCAGAUGGAGCAGAUUGUAGAAGGCAUCAAACAGAAUCGAAUGAAGAUGGAAAAGAAGAAGCAAGAAAACAAAAUGCGAAGAGACCAGUUGAAUGAUGAAUAUUUAGAGCUUCUAGAGAAACAGAGGCUUUACUUUAAAACAGUGAAAGAAUUUAAAGAGGAAUUUCCGUAAGAAUGAAAUGCUGCUGUCCAAGCUGAAAGCUAGUUCUUCCUGAAGAACUCCAGCUGGUGAAGUUUAUAGGUGAUUGUUCAGUCCAUUGAAUCUCUUUGUGAGGUGGCAGUUAUAACUGCAAUGUAGAUAUAUAUAGAUAUAUAUAUAAAAAAUAUAUACACAUGGCUGUAAAAGUCUGGUUUUUUUCAGUAUGUAUUCAGUUUUACAUUCCUUCGUCACUUGGCUGUAUCAUUCAUUAUUGCCUCCACUACACAGUAAAGAAGUAACGCAGUACAGCAAAAUAGAAAUAAUGUCUAAUUUUAUUUAUGUGGGUUUCUUUUUUUUUUUCCUCCCCACAGUAAGGACAAUGGGGAUGUUUUAUUUGGGUUUUAACAAUGAAUUAGGUCGAGAUUCUGGAAUAAGUAGAUAUGUACUGUGUAAUAUGUCCACUACCACAAGAUGAGCACUGUAGAAUGCAGUGGCUUGUUAAUUUUGGC